rnacentral:rRNA from 1 species
UGCGUAGGUGGUUAGGCAAGUCAGAUGUGAAAUCCCACAGCUCAACUGUGGAACUGCGUUUGAAACUGCUUAGCUUGAGUGCAUGAGAGGAAAGGGGAAUUCUAGGUGUAAGAGUGAAAUCUGUAGAUAUCUAGAGGAACACCAGCGGCGAAGGCGCCUUUCUGGCAUGCUACUGACACUGAGGCACGAAAGCGUGGGGAGCAAACAGGAUUAGAUACCCUGGUAGUCC